rnacentral:rRNA from 1 species
GGAUCAGUGGCGAACGGGUGAGUAACACGUGGGCAACCUGCCCUCAGCUCUGGGAUAACUCCAAGAAAUUGGGGCUAAUACCGGAUAUGACCGCUGACCGCAUGGUCUGGUGGUGGAAAGAUUUAUCGGCUGGGGAUGGGCCCGCGGCCUAUCAGCUUGUUGGUGGGGUAGUGGCCUACCAAGGCGACGACGGGUAGCCGGCCUGAGAGGGUGACCGGCCACACUGGGACUGAGACACGGCCCAGACUCCUACGGGAGGCAGCAGUGGGGAAUAUUGCGCAAUGGGCGAAAGCCUGACGCAGCGACGCCGCGUGGGGGAUGACGGCCUUCGGGUUGUAAACCUCUUUCAGCAGGGACGAAGCGCAAGUGACGGUACCUGCAGAAGAAGCACCGGCCAACUACGUGCCAGCAGCCGCGGUAAUACGUAGGGUGCAAGCGUUGUCCGGAAUUAUUGGGCGUAAAGAGCUCGUAGGCGGUUUGUUGCGUCGGCUGUGAAAUCCCGAGGCUCAACCUCGGGUCUG